GGGGCUAUGGUGUAAUCCGGGAGCACGGUUGGCUCCAAACCAACUGGUCGGGGUUCAAAUCCCUGUGGCCCCA
rnacentral:tRNA from 2 species